CAGAUCAUUGUUUCUUUUGGAGCUCUGCAGUAGAACAUGAAGCAUGCCUAGAGAGAGGAAGGAAAGGCAGAGAGAGGCAGAAGAUCAAGCAGCAGGUGGCAAGUGGGAUCACAAAAGAACAGAAGGAUUAAUCCCAAAUAAUUAUAAGAAAUAUCAGGAGAAGAAAAUCACUUCAGAAGAUCAAAAUCUGCUAGCAAAGUAGAUGGGGCUUCAGACCAUUAUAAUUUGGUGAUACUACAACAAAGAGAUAAUGGAACGUUGGUACCCGAACUAUUCCUACACAGACCUUGGACCUACCAUGGUGACAACAGCCUUCACUCAACACCAAUUUCCCCCGAGCACCUUCAUCAUAACAUGCUCUGCGAGAGCAUGACACAUCUCCACAUCUUCCAUGCAACAGAAUUAGAUUCUUGGGUUGGCUUUCAAAGACUCUCAUCCUGACCCAAGUCUUUCUUUUCCAUCUCUACAGCUUCUCUGCACACUUCUAUGUCUACAUAUUCUCACCCUGGUCACCUCCAGUUCUAUACAGUUGGUGGUCUUAAAGCUGA